rnacentral:rRNA from 1 species
AUUAUGGCUCAGGAUGAACGCUAGCUACAGGCUUAACACAUGCAAGUCAGGGGCAUCAGGGAUCUAGCUUGCUAGAUCUGCUGGCGACCGGCGCACGGGUGAGUAACGCGUAUCCAACCUUCCCCAUAGUAGAGGAUAGCCCGGUGAAAAUCGGAUUAAUACUCUAUGUUGUAUAACUAGGACAUCUGAAUUAUACCAAAGGUUUACCGCUAUGGGAUGGGGAUGCGUCUGAUUAGGUUGUUGGCGGGGUAACGGCCCACCAAGCCAUCGAUCAGUAGGGGUUCUGAGAGGAAGGUCCCCCACAUUGGAACUGAGACACGGUCCAAACUCCUACGGGAGGCAGCAGUGAGGAAUAUUGGUCAAUGGGCGCGAGCCUGAACCAGCCAAGUAGCGUGCAGGAAUGACGGCCCUAUGGGUUGUAAACUGCUUUUAUGCGGGGAUAAAGUGCAGCACGUGUGCUGUUUUGUAGGUACCGCAUGAAUAAGGACCGGCUAAUUCCGUGCCAGCCGCCGC